rnacentral:rRNA from 1 species
GAUGAACGCUGGCGGCGUGCCUAAUACAUGCAAGUCGAGCGAACAGACGAGGAGCUUGCUCCUCUGACGUUAGCGGCGGACGGGUGAGUAACACGUGGAUAACCUACCUAUAAGACUGGGAUAACUUCGGGAAACCGGAGCUAAUACCGGAUAAUAUAUUGAACCGCAUGGUUCAAUAGUGAAAGACGGUUUUGCUGUCACUUAUAGAUGGAUCCGCGCCGCAUUAGCUAGUUGGUAAGGUAACGGCUUACCAAGGCAACGAUGCGUAGCCGACCUGAGAGGGUGAUCGGCCACACUGGAACUGAGACACGGUCCAGACUCCUACGGGAGGCAGCAGUAGGGAAUCUUCCGCAAUGGGCGAAAGCCUGACGGAGCAAUGCCGCGUGAGUGAUGAAGGUCUUCGGAUCGUAAAACUCUGUUAUUAGGGAAGAACAAAUGUGUAAGUAACUAUGCACGUCUUGACGGUACCUAAUCAGAAAGCCACGGCUAACUACGU